rnacentral:tRNA from 1 species
GGGCCCGUAGCUCAGCGGCAGAGCGGUCGGCUCAUAACCGAUUGGUCGAUGGUUCGAAUCCGUCCGGGCCCACCA